AACUGCUAAUCUUUGAUACCACUUUAUACUCACGAUCUUGUAUCCACUGACUGUCUUGUUAGAUUAACCCAAUAAAUUUCAUUCACUCCGCAUACUCAAUCCUAUAGACACCCUUUUAAUUCUUCAAUCACAGAUGUAACUUCGAUUUCACAAAACAGUGAAGAGUAAUCAAACCCACUUCAUUAAAAAUCCUGAUUCGCCAUUACAACACCGACUUCAGCAACGAUUGCCUCAGUCUUCCCAAAACCCUAUAAAGAAAAAAAAAUCCAAUUCUCCCUCUUUUCUUCCCCGACCCAAAGCAUGAAGCUCGCUCUCCGAUCCUUCUAAAAACUCUCCAAAAAACUUAUUCUCUCCCCCUC
rnacentral:lncRNA from 1 species